UUACUACUCCCUCCGUUCGGAAUUACUUGUCGCAGAAAUGGAUGUAUCUAAACGUAUUUUAGUUUUAGAUACAUUCAUUUUCGCGACAAGUAAUUUCGAACGGAGGGAGUACACA
rnacentral:pre_miRNA from 1 species